GUGACGGUACCCGCAGAAGAAGCCCCGGCUAACUACGUGCCAGCAGCCGCGGUAAGACGUAGGGGGCGAGCGUUGUCCGGAUUUAUUGGGCGUAAAGCGCGCGCAGGCGGCCCGGUAAGUCGGAUGUGAAAACCCGAGGCUCAACCUCGGGCCGUCAUUCGAUACUGCCGGGCUCGAGGCAGGUAGGGGAGAUCGGAAUUCCCGGUGUAGCGGUGAAAUGCGCAGAUAUCGGGAGGAACACCGGUGGCGAAGGCGGAUCUCUGGGCCUGUCCUGACGCUCAUGCGCGAAAGCUGGGGGAGCGAACAGGAUUAGAUACCCUGGUAGUCCCAGCCGUAAACGUUGGGUGCUAGGUGUGGGGAGCAUCAACCCUCUCCGUGCCGACGCUAACGCAUUAAGCACCCCGCCUGGGGAGUACGGCCGCAAGGCUAAAACUCAAAGGAAUUGACGGGGGCCCGCACAAGCGGCGGAGCAUGUGGCUUAAUUCGACGCGACGCGAAGAACCUUACCAGGGCU
rnacentral:rRNA from 1 species